rnacentral:rRNA from 1 species
ACGCUCGACACCUACAGGCAGCAGUGGGGAAUAUUGCACAAUGGGGGAAACCCUGAUGCAGCGACGCCGCGUGGAGGAAGAAGGUCUUCGGAUUGUAAACUCCUGUUGUUGGGGAAAAAGAGGAUGGUACCCAACAAGGAAGUGACGGCUAACUACGUACCAGCAGCCGCGGUAAUCUGAGCGGGCUGGCAAGGC